CCGUGAGUCGGAAGCGGGGUCUGGUUUUUCUUUUUGGUUUUAAGGCCCGAGUUUUUCGGGCCGAUUCGGGCGGAAGAUAUUGUCAGGUGGGGAGUUUGGCUGGGGCGGUAUAUCUGUUAAAAGAUAACGUAGGUGUUUUAAGAUGAGUUUAACGAGAAUAGAAAUUUCGUGUGGAAUAAAAGGGUAAAAGUUCGUUUGAUUUUGAUUUUCAGUACGAAUACGAACCGUGAAAGCGUGGUUUAUCGAUUUUUUAGAUUUUCGGAGUUUGAAGUUAGAGGUGUCAGAAAAGUUAUUACAGGGAUAACUGGUUUGUGGUAGUUAAGCGUUUAUAGCGACGUUGUUUUUUGAUUUUUCGAUGUCGGUUUUUUUUAUUAUUGUGAAGUAGAAUUUAUUAAGUGUUGGAUUGUUUAUUUAUUAAUAGGGAACGUGAGUUGGGUUUAGAUCGUCGUGAG
rnacentral:ncRNA from 1 species